rnacentral:miRNA from 1 species
GGUCAAAACUCCUGUGCUGAUCAGUAGUGGGAUUCUGCCAAUGAAUAGCCACUACACUCCAGCCUGGGCAACAUAGUGAGACC